CUGUUCCCAUGCCGAACACAGAAGUUAAGCUCCUUAGCGCCGAUGGUAGUCGGACUGACGUUCCGCUAGAGUAGGACGUUGCCAGGC
rnacentral:rRNA from 1 species